ensembl:processed_transcript 4930417O13Rik RIKEN cDNA 4930417O13 gene
GAGUUAGAUUCUGUGACACAAAGGGAAACGUGUCUGACUGAUGGUUCCCACACUGCCUUCGCUUCUGAGGGCUCCCUGGCCUGGGAGAGUUUGAGCAGAAGUAGUUCUGAGUGGGAAAGUGCAAACUUCAGGAUGGGCCAUGUGGAGACUUCUGGGGCUGAGACGUGACUAACACAUUUCCAUCCUGAAGGAUGUGGUGGACUGGCAUGGGACUAGAGUAAGGGAUGACCUCUUAGAAGUGCCUUCAGGGUGCGGCAUACAACUGAGGUCGCGGUGUUCACUCAGCUCAGCUCAGCUCUGACUUUUGCCCCCAUGCAGUCUCCUUUUAACCAGUUGUUGUUCAGACUCCAUGCCUUUGCAUGCUUCCUGCCAUGUCAGUUUACUGAUAUCCAGCUUUCAUCUGUGGGAGACAGGCAGGACUUAGGGUAUCGUUUUAAAAUAUUUAUUUAUUAUAUUUACACAAGUAUGCUGUAGCUGUCUUCAGACACACCAGAACAGGGCAUUGGAUCCCUAUUACAGAUGGUUGGUUGGGAGCCACCAUGUGGCUGCUGGGAAUUGAACUCAGGAUCUCUGGAAGAAUAGUCAGUGCUCUUAACCUCUGAGCCAUCUCUCCAGCCCUUAAGGUAUUAUUUUAAUGUUCUUAUGCCUGUUGAGACUUGAUAUGUGUCCUAGGAUGUGGUUAAUUUUGAAGAAACUUCUACUGGAUGCUGAGAAGAUAGUAAAUUUUUUAGUGUUCAUGUGGUAUAUUCUAUAGACGUCUAUUAAGUCCAUUUGAGUUAUGGAGUUAUUCAACUUCAGUAUUUCUCUGUUUGGUUUUUGCCUUGAGAUAACAGGUCUAAUGGUAGAAGUUGGUAAUGUCAUUCACUCUCACUGUGUCAGGGUGAUACAUUAUCUUGGCUAUAGCAUUGUUUCUUGUAUUUAAUUGGAUGACAUUUUUGAUGCAUGAUGUUUAAAUUUUUAAUAUACUCUUGGUGUAUUUUUUUCUUUAAUGACUAGGUAGGGUCUUUUCCUAUCUUCUCUAAUUAGCUGUGGCUCGAUGUCUAAUUAGUCAGAUAUUAAAAUAGCUUGCUUCUUGGUUCCAUUUGUGUGGAAUAUUUUUCCUACCUUUUAUCCUAUGUGAGGCAUAUUUAUUGGAUGCAGCAGAAAGAUGGAUCCCGUGUUCCAAUCCAGUGCAUUAGUGUUUGUUUGUUUUUACUCUGGAAUUUAGAUGCUGUGGAGGGUGUUGCUUACUGGCUUGUUCAGUCUGCAUCCUUAUAGAACCCAGACCACCAGCCCAGGGAUCCUGUUUUCCAAUGGAUUGUGUCAAGGUGACAUUAAACUAGCCAGCACAAUCACCAAUUGAGGGGGUUAUAUCUUUAAAAUUAUACAUUUUAAAAGUUCGACCAGGCAAAUCUAUAGCUCUCCAGGUCAAAUCCUUUAUUAAACCUUUGCAGAAACUUUAACAAACACACCUGUGGUUCCAGUGGACGAGGGUCGGAGUCUAGCAUGAGUUGUUUCACUUCUGAAGCUUGUUUUAGAUCUAAUGUCAUCAUGGAGGGGCCCAGGUAGACUAGAGGCCCACGAGGCUGAGGCUGUCCUCGAACUCCUGCGCCUCUUUCAUCAGCCUCCGCAGGGAGACUCCGGGCGGGAACUGCAUCCCAGCAUCCUGGAUCUUCACAGGGGCUAAGAAGCAGAGCAUCUCGCUCACACGCACUUGCACGGUGAGGAGUCCAGAGGAAAUUACGGCCUCCUGGGCUGCUCUGCCUUCGCCCACCCUCACAGGAGCUGGGGUUGCGAGGAAGCCCUAGCCUCAGGGGAGAUGGAGGUCAACCUCCUGUGGGGCCGAUCCCCAGAGGCCCCGAGGCCAACCACCCCAGCCUGGGACCGCUCCCACCAACCCGGCUGCUCUCACCAUGCUGAACUCCGGAGACCCGCUCAGACGCCAACGAUCCUCACCACCGGUCCUCAACCGCCUCUGGUCUGCGCGCGCUCAACAGUCCAGGCCGGAUGUGGAGUCCAGGCGGGGGCUCAUUGGCCCAGAGCACCUUAGGGGCGGCCUUAGGCCCCACAUCCCACUAAUGAUUGGAUGGGGCUCCAGUUGCAGUGCUGGCAACUUCUGAUUGGAUGUGGCUUUGGCGGGAAGGCUCUGGAGUGGCUGGAGGGGGACGAGCAUUGAGGAGCAGCUGGAGACUGGGGGGUGGGGGGCUCUGCGCGUCCCCGACAUCCAACUUAGCACGGAGCAAGUGGGGCGCUCAGGGUUUGCUUAUCUGCGCAUGCUUGAUGGAGGGAUGCCCUUGAAGCCCUGCACACUAUCCGUACCUCAGUCCUCGCCUUUCAUCCACUCGCCUCACCUCACACUGCCUUACCUCGCCUGGGAGGCCACCAGGUUGUGCUUCUCCAGAGACCUCAGUUUCUGGGCAUCUGCUAAGUCCUGCAUUGGGACCCAGCGCUGUUUUGGAAGUCUGUGCGAGCAGUUGUCUAUUCCGACAUUAUUUUCUCUGGGAGAAGGUCUUGAAAGGGUUUGGCUCUGCGGCACUGGCUGGCCUCCAAGGCUUGUAGCCCGGGCUAGCAGAAGUUGAAACUCUGUCUCAGGCUACCUCAGAGCUGGGACUGUAGAUGUGUGCCAGGCCCGGUGGGAACCAGACCUUCAAUCCGCAAUUUGGAGGAAACGUAAAUUAGUCAACAGACCUUUCUUUCCUCAAGAUAUCGAACUACACAUAGUUGAACUGUAGGCUGUGCCAUGGUGUGUUUGUUUGUUUGUUUGUUUGGGCAUAGUCUUAUGUGUCCCACCCUGGUCUUGAUUUCCCCUGUAAUCAAGAAUGGAUUUGACCUUCUGAUCCUCCACUCUCCAACCUCCGAGUCCUGGAAUUGCAGAUCAGCAUCACAAGCUGGGGACAAACCCAUGGCUUUAGAGAUGCUUGGCCAGCACUCUACCGAACUCAUCUACAACCCUAACCCCCAGUGCUGUGUUUACAAGAAACAUUUUUUUCCUGAUUAUGAAAUUAACACAUUCAGAGUAGAAUGUGUGGGAAAGGCAGAAAUAAAAUGGAGCACCAACAACCACACAUGUCUCUAGAGAAACACAUUUCAGCUGUCUUUCACCCCAGCAUGCAUACAUUUAUGACUUGUUUUGUAACUACGAUCAAACAUGAUUUUUUUGAAC